AUUGAACGCUGGCGGCAGGCCUAACACAUGCAAGUCGAACGAGUGGCGGACGGGUGAGUAAUGUCUGGGAAACUGCCCGAUGGAGGGGGAUCACUACUGGAAACGGUAGCUAAUAACGCAUACCAUCGGAUGUGCCCAGAUGGGAUUAGCUUGUAGGUGAGGUAACGGCCAACCUAGGCGACGAUCCCUAGCUGGUCUGAGAGGAUGACCAGUCACACGGGAAAGAGGACGAGGACCAGAAUCCUACGGGAGGCAGCAGUGGGGAAUAUUGCACAAUGGGCGCAAGCCUGAUGCAGCCAUGCCGCGUGUAUGAAGAAGGCCAUCGGGUUGUAAAGUACUAUCAGCGGGGAGGCGUUACCCGAAGAAGAAGCACCGGCUAACUCCGUGCCAGCCGCCGCGGUAAUAC
rnacentral:rRNA from 1 species